rnacentral:rRNA from 1 species
GACGAACGCUGGCGGCGUGCUUAACACAUGCAAGUCGAACGGAAAGGCCCUGCUUUUGUGGGGUGCUCGAGUGGCGAACGGGUGAGUAACACGUGUGUAACCUGCCCUUGACUUUGGGAUAACUUCAGGAAACUGGGGCUAAUACCGGAUAGGAGCUCCUGCUGCAUGGUGGGGGUUGGAAAGUUUCGGCGGUUGGGGAUGGACUCGCGGCUUAUCCGCUUGUUGGUGGGGUAGUGGCUUACCAAGGCUUUGACGGGUAGCCGGCCUGAGAGGGUGACCGGCCACAUUGGGACUGAGAUACGGCCCAGACUCCUACGGGAGGCAGCAGUGGGGAAUAUUGCACAAUGGGCGGAAGCCUGAUGCAGCAACGCCGCGUGCGGGAUGACGGCCUUCGGGUUGUAAACCGCUUUCGCCUGUGACGAAGCGUGAGUGACGGUAAUGGGUAAAGAAGCACCGGCUAACUACGUG